UGCGGUUAUACAAAAAUUAAAUUUAUUUUAUUUAGUUAAUAAUAAAUAAUUUUAUAAAAUAAUUUAAAUUUUAAAUUUUUAAGUGAAAUUUUAAUUUAAGUAAAAUUUAUUUUUUUUUUAUGAAUUAUAAAAUUUUAUUAUAAACUAGGAUUAGAUACCCUAUUAUUAAAAAUUUAAUUUUAAUACUAAAAUAGUAAAUAAUAUUAUUUAUUGAAACUUAAAUAAUUUGGCGGUAUUUUAGUUCAUUUAGAGGAAUCUGUUUAAUAAUUGAUAAUCCACGAAUAAAUUUACUUAAUUUAAAAUUUUAUAUAUCGUUGUUAAAAAAAUAUUUUUUUAUAAAAAUAAUAUUUUAAAAUUUAAUUUUAAAAUUAAAUCAGAUCAAGAUGUAGAUUAUAAUUAAGAAUAUAAUGGAUUACAAAAAAUUUAUUUAAUAUGGAUUUUUAUUUGAAAAAAUAUAAUUAAAGUGGAUUUAAAUGUAAUUUUAUUUAAUUUAAUAAAAUGAUUAAAAAUUGAAAUAUGUACAUAUUGCCCGUCACUUUCAUUAAUAAUUUGAAAUAAGUCGUAACAAAGUAGAAGUACUGGAAAGUGUUUCUAGAAAGA
rnacentral:rRNA from 1 species